GCUGUGCUCGAAUGGGCAGCAGGGGAUCAUUAAAAAUGAUAUGAAGAAAAUUAGCACAGCCCCCGCAUAGGGAUGACACGCAAACUCAUGAAGCCUUCCACAUGUUG